CAUCUUGUUGAUAGUUUUCACAUGUGCUGCCGCGGUCGGAUGCAUUCUUCUUUCUGUUGGGCAGGAUAAAUUCCACGGUCAAGCUUUACGUACUCUGAAGUAUGUGGUAAACCGAUCGGACUACACCGUUCAAACCCUGAAGAAUGUGACGGCAUAUCUCUCUCUCGCAAAAACUAUUAACGUCACCGAGGUUUUCCUCCCGUCCGAUCUGUUGGGUGAGAUUGACAAGUUGAAUAUCAAUCUGAUUGCUGCUGCAGAGACCAUCGAAGCGAAAACAACUAAAAAUGCAGCCAAAGUAAAAGGAGUUUUCCAGGCUGUGCGAUCGUCUUUGAUAAG